GACCAUGCGUUUCUGCGUCAUCCACUCUUCGCUUAUCGACGGAAAGGAGUUUCAGAAGCAGCGGCAAUAGCUUACCCUGCUUACCCUGCAAGAAGAUUAGCGUAUGCACCGGCCAACUGGCUGCAUUCCGUUCGCCAUUCCACCUUUUCUCAUAUUCCCCUUCUCGUCCUUCUUAUGCUAAACCCCGCAAGGCCACCAAAACCCACAUGUUCCUUCCUCAUUUGGUCGCUUCCAUGGA
rnacentral:misc_RNA from 1 species